GCCCGCGUAGCUCAGUGGAUAGAGCGCGACUCUCCUAAGGUCGGCGUCGGGGGUUCGAGUCCCUCCGCGGGCACCA
rnacentral:tRNA from 1 species